rnacentral:misc_RNA from 1 species
UCAAUACAAUACAAUCAUCUGAGAAAGACCUUUUCUUGCAGAAACUCACCAGACAUUUUAUCUUUUUGUGUUCUCAUUCUGGGGCAAAAGCACAGUAACAUGACUUCUCCUGAUGAGUUGAAGAGACAAGGUUGAAUAAUUCCUCGACAAGCUAUUCAUUUGGAUUGGUUUCAGAAAACACAGGAUCAGGCUGUACAUUUUCUG